AACGAACGCUGGCGGCAUGCCUAACACAUGCAAGUCGAACGAGACCUUCGGGUCUAGUGGCGCACGGGUGCGUAACGCGUGGGAACCUGCCCGGAGGUUCGCAAUAACUCCCCGAAAGGGGUGCCAAGACAGGACAAUUUCUUCGGGCCAAAGAUUUAUCGCCUUUGGAUGGGCCGCCGUGGGAUUAGCUGGUUGGUAGGGUAAAGGCCUACAAAGGCGACGAUCCAUAGCUGGUCUGAGAGGAGGCUCAGCCACACUGGGACUGCGACACGGCCCAGACUCCUGCGGGGGGCAGCAGUGGGGAAGAUUGGACAAUGGGCGAAAGCCUGAUCCAGCAGUGCCGCGUGAGUGAUGAAGGCCUUAGGGUUGUAAAGCUCUUUUACCCGGGAUGAUAGUGACAGUACCGGGAGAAUAAGCUCCGGCUAACUCCGU
rnacentral:rRNA from 1 species